CACUGGAGCCUGGGCCCAGCAGGACAUGAGGAGAGAUCUAGGUAACACCUACACAAGGACGAGUUACCACCUCUCCACCAUGGGAGAAUAAGCCCACCAGUAAGCAAUUGGCUGCCAACCAGACAACUGACUAACAACACCCGAACCUGAUAAAUGCUGCCAGAGCUCAUUGGAGGGAGGUGUUCCCCUGGAGAAUCUAGCCGGAGGAAGAGGAGGAUGACUGUGGCCUGUUAAUCUCUCUAAACUGAAAGAGUGAGCUGAAAGCAAUGGGGCUAGGUGGGGAGAAGCUGAUUGAGGGCUACAGCUGGCCUGAAUCAUAACCCAGCUCCAGGAGCAGAAUUGUGGACUCCUUAUCGGAGGCGUGUCCCCACAGGCCUGAGGCUACGUCCUGCACCAGCAUAGCUAUACCAGAUAACUCUGGAGUGGAGACACAGCUUGUACUCACAGAAGUGUUUUUUCUGCCACCGUAGGAAUAACCCCCCAUCUUUCCCUCAACACAGCUGCAGCUAAACUGGGGGUUAGGUUGGUCACAGUGCAAAUUAAGAUUCACUCCUCUGAAGCUUAAGUAUAAAACUGGUGAAAGGAGCUGCUCCGCUGCUCGCGGGAGACAAUGAGAAGUCCACGAACUUCAGUGAGCUUUGGCUCAGGUCCUGUGUGAGGAGAGGAUCAAAUCCAAAGUUAGAGAGUUACAACAAAGGUUCCAACAAACAUUAGAUAUUCUAACCUGGACUGGAGCCAAAAGGAGAUGCAUAGAAGAACAUGGGAACUGGUGGAAUGGAUCAGAACCACCGUUCCUGUCUCCACAGAUAUUCCUCUGAGGCAUGUCUUGUAAAAAUCCUACACUUGGCAGGUAAGGGGUAAUCUUCCCCCUGCCUCCCCAUUACAUGUUUAACU